GACGAGCGCUGGCGGCGUGCUUAACACAUGCAAGUCGAACGGAAAGGCCCUGCUUUUGUGGGGUGCUCGAGUGGCGAACGGGUGAGUAACACGUGAGUAACCUGCCCUUGACUUUGGGAUAACUUCAGGAAACUGGGGCUAAUACCGGAUAGGAGCUCCUGCUGCAUGGUGGGGGUUGGAAAGUUUCGGCGGUUGGGGAUGGACUCGCGGCUUAUCAGCUUGUUGGUGGGGUAGUGGCUUACCAAGGCUUGGACGGGUAGCCGGCCUGAGAGGGUGACCGGGCCCAUGGGCCUGCGGGAGGGGGCAGGAGGCAAUCGGGCGCAAGGGGGGGGAAACUUGCGGAACAGGGCGGAGUGAUGGAUGAAGAACGCCGGGUGGGGAAAGACGGCUUUUGGGGGGGAACCCGUUUUUACGUAGCUAGGCACGUCUUGACGGUAAAUGGUCAAAAAGCCACGGCUAACUCCGUG
rnacentral:rRNA from 1 species